rnacentral:rRNA from 1 species
AACGAACGCUGGCGGCGUGCCUAACACAUGCAAGUCGAGCGAGAAAGGGGGAGCGAAUCCCCUGAGUAGAGCGGCGAACGGGUGAGUAACGCGUGGGCAAUCUGCCCUCCAGCCCGGGAUAACACCUCGAAAGGGUGCUAAUACCGGAUGACAUCAGCCCGGCGCAUGCCGGCUGAUCAAAGGCGGCCUCUGCAUGCAAGCUGUCACGUGGGGGANGAGCCUGCGUCCGAUUAGCUAGUUGGCGGGUAACGGCCCACCAAGGCGACGAUCGGUAGCCGGCCUGAGAGGGUGACCGGCCACACUGGGACUGAGAUACGGCCCAGACUCCUACGGG